GUGUCUUUGCUUUGAAAUUUGCAGAACAUCUUCUUUCAAAUGAAGAAAUAGAUUUCUCAGCAAAGACACAUGAUAUAAAUAGGUACAGGCUGCAAAUUGCCACAACGCUUCUAUUAGAGACUGGUAAGUAAUAUGCACCCAAGAGAUGUUAUUGCCACCCAAAGCAUGGUCCUGACUGUGCUAUCAAUUCUAUAUACAACUCAGUUAAGCUUUACACAGGGAAGUACUAUAGCAAUCCUUCUGGCUUUGUUUUCACAGAUGAUUUAUCUAACUUGUUUUUUUUUUUUGUGGGGAAGCUACACAUGACAGACAACAGAUGGAUUCAGUGUGACGAGUGUUGCAGGUGGUUCCAUCUUGUAUGUGUUGGGGAGCCUCCAACCGAAGGCUCUUUUUUGUGUUCAACAUGUACA